rnacentral:rRNA from 1 species
UACGUAGGGUGCAAGCGUUGUCCGGAAUUACUGGGCGUAAAGAGCUCGUAGGCGGUUUGUCGCGUCGUCUGCGAAAACUCGAGGCUCAACCUCGAGCUUGCAGGCGAUACGGGCAGACUUGAGUACUGCAGGGGAGACUGGAAUUCCUGGUGUAGCGGUGAAAUGCGCAGAUAUCAGGAGGAACACCGGUGGCGAAGGCGGUUCUCUGGGCAUUACCUGACGCUGAGGAGCGAAAGCGUGGGGAGCAAACAGG